rnacentral:rRNA from 1 species
UACGUAGGGCGCAAGCGUUAUCCGGAAUUAUUGGACGUAAAGAGCUCGUAGGCGGUUUGUCGCGUCUGCCGUGAAAGUCCGGGGCUCAACUCCGGAUCUGCGGUGGGUACGGGCAGACUAGAGUGAUGUAGGGGAGACUGGAAUUCCUGGUGUAGCGGUGAAAUGCGCAGAUAUCAGGAGGAACACCCGUAGCGAAGGCGGCACUCUGGGCCGGUACUGACGCUGAGGAGCGAAAGCGUGGGGAGCAAACAGG